rnacentral:lncRNA from 1 species
UGAGAACAUAGCUAGAACGUGCUGUCUGUGAGGAACAGGCCUUCACGAGAAACUGAAUCUGCUGGUGCUUUGAUCUUGGACUUCCCAGCUUCCAGAGCUGUUUUUCUGGAAACCGCUGUAAAAAAGGAAAGCAACUUCAACACGCAUUUCUAACUCAUUGAUAUGCCAAGUUCCUUUUGGAAUGAUAAGUUGCCAAGGACCAAAGCACUGUGACUUGUCAUCCCCAGUGAAUGAGAGGAAGAGGUGGUGUGGAAAGAACAUCCUGUUGUGCAGAACCUCAGUAACUAAAGUGUUGUCAUCUCACAUUAUUUUUUUUUGUCAUUAGUGCAUCUGUUUAAUCUUAUACUGCCCCUGAUACUACAUGGUUGACUUAGAUAACUAAAAUCCAGAUGAUCCAAACAAGCUGGAGCAAAAGAAAAGCAGUACAGUUUGAGCGAAUUCCUUACUUCACAGUCCUAAGUGGUAAUAGUAGCGCACGAGACAGUUCUGAGUCUCACAAGCCCCAUCUUCCAGCUCCUGAAGAUCUUGGAAUGUUAUAAUGCCAAUCCCAAUGACUUUGCCUUAGCUCACCUAUCAGACCCAUGGCAUUACCAGAAACAAUAUAGUUCUAUUUUAGAAAAAUACAUAGUUUGAGAAUAUCAAGCACUAUAGAAGCAAGUUUUCAUUAAUAACAAUACUUGAGGUCAGGCACUGUGGCUCAUGCCUGUGAUCCCCUCAAUUUGGGAAGCCAAGGUGGGUGGAUCACUUGAGCCCAGGAGUUCCAGACCAGCCUGGGCAACAUAGGGAGACCUCAUCUUUACAAAAAAAAUUAAAAAAUCAUUCAGGCAUGUUGGCAUAUACCUGUAGUCCCAGCUACUAGGGAGGCUGAGGUGGGAGGAUCAUUUUAGCCAAGGAGUUUGAGGCUACAGUAAGCCAUGAUCACACCACUACACUCAAGCCUGGGUGACACAGUGAGUCCCUGUCUUAAAAAUAAAGUAAAAUAAAACAAAGUAAAACUUUUUAUUAAAAAAACCCACAAUAUUUGCUUUCUAUAAAAAAUAGUUCUACUAGUUGAGUGUGUACUAUUUCAAGCAUGCGGUACUUGCUGUACAUGUUCUCUUGCUUAAUCUAUACAUUAAUAUUCUGAAAUAAUAUCCAAUUUUAAUACAUGUAAACCAAAGCUCAGAGGGAAUAAGUACUUUGCUUAAGGUUAUAUGGUUGGUAAGUACCUGAACUGAGAUGAAAAUGUAAGUCAGUUUUUGUCUCGAUUUAAGUAUUCUAAAACUCAUUGUUCUUUUUGCUAAAAUAUAGCUCAGUUUUACUCUUACAGUACUGUUGGAUAUUUUUUUAUCUUUAAGUAACUAUACAUUGAAAGUAUUGAAUAUUUCAUUUCAAAUUCUUGAGGGAAGGGUACAUUUAUUACUGUCAGUCUCAAAUGCAAGAACUUGACAAAUGUUAGCCAUAAUUAAGUGUUAGCAUUUGCUAUGUAUUUUAAAGUACAAAUGACAGUGCUAAGCACUUUCAUUCACAAGGAAGGAUGCGAAAUAUCUCUUGCUUUCAUGGGUCAUAUAACCUGUUUGGUUAGUCAGUCCCUGUAUUUGUGAUGACAGCUUAGCAAAUUGAUAGUGCUUAUCUUUAUGGCUCUUUAGUUGAACUUGAUUUUGAUCUAUUGAAAUGGAAGUAUUGGAAGUACUAACUUCACAUUACUUACACACUCACAAAAUAUGAGUUUAUCAAACAUGAGAAAAAUUAUUUAAAGAAACGAUAACACUGGCCUUUAAGCCCAUUUGAAGUUCUGUACUUUUUCGUAGUCUGCAGGAAACUUACAUCUUCAGAAACUCACUCAGAAGCAUUCUUGAGUUAUGAGACAAAUCAUUAAUAAUUAGGAACUCUAACAUGAAGUUUCCAAAUCCUUGAAAUCUUCCUAAGGAAAGGAGAUAUACACCCUUAAUAUGAAAUUGAACCUUUUGUUUCUUUUCUAAUAAGGGCAGGGCUGAUUUUAUCUUAUUUGAAAAAAUAUUUUGAUUUUGUCAUUUUAUUUUAAUAAAAACAUCUAGCUGAAUUCCUUCUUUGCUGUUUUCUCAAGUUUAUCUUGGCUAGAUGAAAUUCUCUUUCCUGAUGUUAGAUUAAAAUGUAAAAUGUGGUUAAUUGCACUUUCCUGCAUACUAUCAUCUUUAAAAAUUAAGUUAGAGAAGGUGAGAAAUGGGCUUAUACCUUCACCUUUCCUUUAAAAAUAAAACAGAUGUUAAUUAUUAUGUGGACAUACCAUAUUAUAAAGUUAUACCAUAGAGUCAUAGUUUCCCAGAAGUAUGUCAAUAUUAUAUUUUAAAUUGCAAAGAAAAGAUUAUAUCAGCAUAAUAGUUAGAUCCAAUGAACUGAGAGACACAAUUUUAUGGGAUAGCUAUUAAUGAGUUGCACAGUUCAAAUACAACUUCUGAGUUCACUUAAAUCUAGCUGUGCUAUGUAAAAAGACAAAGGAGGCAGUGAGAGCUUAGCUGGGUUUCAAACCCAUAAAGCUGGCUCUGAACAGCAUGAGUCACUCAGAGAUAAAGGCAUUCAGUGAUUUACUUGAAUCCAUUCGGUGCCAGCCUGGAAAAGAUUUGGGAAAUUAGCAGUGUCCUCACUUUUUUGAUGGCGUGGCUAAAGAAAGGCUAAUUCAUGAAAAGGAGAAACCCUUUUCAUUUGACAUUGGAUUUCCUCCUAGCUCAAACACAAAUGGCAUUACUAAUAACACAAUGUGCUGGGAGACUAGCAGGAUAUUGUGUCCCUUUAAGAAUAGGCUACCAUCUUGAGCAUAAUAACUAACUGGUGACCUGGGUAAUUUUGAAUCCAUAAACAAUUUCAUUUGACAGAUUAUCCCUUCUUGCUUAAAAAAAAAAAAGACAUCAAUAAGAGUUCACUAAUUUCCCAAGCAGCUGUGAUUUGUAAUGAACUUGACAGUUUCCAUUUUUACUCUGUGAAUGAUUUCUUGGCCUGGUUAGAACGUUUGAUUCAGGUACAUGCAGAUUCUUUGUGGAACAUUAGACUGAUAAACUAUGCUUACAAUGAGAAAGUACAUUAUCUGCCAUCUUUUCUCUUUGAAGAUGUUGACAGUCUGACCAUAAUUUGACCAUUAGCAUAACUGAGAAAUUGGGCUAUGUUAAGUUAACCACAAACUCAUCAUCAUGACCCUAGAUGGUAUUUGAGUCUCCUCCCCAAAGACAGCACUGCCUCUUCUGAAUUCAGGAAAGAUGUCAGAGCUCAUUUCCGGUUCAUCAAGGCCCACACAGGGUCUCCUUGUCAGUGGGUGGAAUGAUAUAGAAUGUAUGCUGGGACCUUCCCAGAGAUGGAAUGAAAGAAACAGGAAACAGUUACUUAAUGCUAAGAGCUUGUCAACCCCAGACUUCAGGAAAGACCAGAAGGUGAUCAAUCAUACUUUGACCUGAAUGCAUGUUUUGUCACAUUAUAUCUGUAGGAGCUGCAGCCAUGCUUUAUGUCUUCCUGUUGGCUUCCUUAUUCAGAAAGCACCAACCUAGGGUUGAUGGCUGUUCUUGCCCUCCAAGGUCACUUCAUGGCUGAAACUUGAAUGGGUUUCAUUGUAUCUUUAAGAGCAGCUCUUUCCUCAGUUUUCUAGUUACUAGCCUUGACAACCUGGAAAGAGUGUUUUACUUAUCCUCCUUAAUGUCCUCUGCACACGCAGAUGAUUUGCAGGGAGUAUGAUUCUACUUCUGGCCUUGGUUUCCCUCCCACCUAAAGUUUCUCUCUCUGUAAUUGGCACAGUCUCCUGAUACAUGGAUUGGAGUUAAACUUAUUUUAAAACCUGAUUUCUGCUAAUGUGCAUAUAUCAUCCCUAGUUCAAUAAUAAACCUUUUUUGUUGUUGCUCCUAGCAUAAUUUGUAAAUUACUUCCCAGAGCCGCCUUUACUAAAUGUCUGUGACCUUAUUGUCAAGAAAGGCUUGACAAGCAGAAGCUGCUGCCUGGGGGCUGGAAUGUCCCACUUCCUGUUCUUUCUCUCCAAGCUGCAGCAUUGUAUCCAAACAAAAACUGAACUCAGUGCACAUGUGACCCAGAAUUAGUUUGAAAUGAAACUCU